rnacentral:pre_miRNA from 1 species
GUCUUACCAGACACGGUUAGAUCUGGUCCUUCUGUCUAAUACUGUCUGGUAAUGCCGU